ensembl:miRNA
AAUGAUGGAGGUACAGGCAUUUCCUGAGGAUUAAUGACCAGCUGGGAGGAACCAGUGGCCCUUGGCUCUGCCUCCCAGCCAGCCAUUAAUUUUAAGGAAAUGUCUUUUGCUGAGGUCGUU